AUUCCAUGCUGUGGACAUUUCCUCAAUAAAGUCUUGAAUCUCUGCCAAGCCUCAUAAAUGGAUUCUCAUUCUUUUUGCUUGAAGCCUGUGAUCACAUCCUUCAACUU